AUGCAUGAAUUGCUGGAUACCAAUCAGAUCUUUGUAGAAGUCACUCAGAAGCUGAUAGCAGGUAAGCUUCACAUAUGUUUGGAAACAUGCUUCCAUCUGACCAGUGAUACUAAUUACUAUGACAGAUCCAAACUCAAUUAUUUCUUGAGGAUGUGGAUUUUUAUCCUUAUCAUCACAGGUUGCCUCAAAGUCUAUGACCAUAAAAUACUAAAAUUCUUGAAACUGCUAAUGCGAGUAACGUUGAGAUAA